CACAGGUUGGCUGCAACGAAGUGCCGUGCGCACGGGCCGGAUGGACGG
rnacentral:ncRNA from 1 species